GACGAACGCUGGCGGCGUGCUUAACACAUGCCAGUCGAACGGAAAGGCCCUGCUUUUGUGGGGUGCUCGAGUGGCGAACGGGUGAGUAACACGUGAGUAACCUGCCCUUGACUUUGGGAUAACUUCAGGAAACUGGGGCUAAUACCGGAUAGGAGCUCCUGCUGCAUGGUGGGGGUUGGAAAGUUUCGGCGGGUGGGGAUGGACUCGCGGCUUAUCAGCUUGUUGGUGGGGUAGUGGCUUACCAAGGCUUUGACGGGUAGCCGGCCUGAGAGGGUGACCGGCCACAUUGGGCCUGAGAUACGGACCAGACUCCUACGGGAGGCAGCAGGGGGGAAUAUUGCACAAUGGGCGGAAGCCUGAUGCAGCAACGCCGCGUGCGGGAUGACGGCCUUCGGGUUGUAAAACGCUUUCGGCUGUGACGAAGCGUGAGUGACGGUAAUGGGUAAAGAAGCACCGGCUAACUACGUG
rnacentral:rRNA from 1 species